CAUGGUGUUCGCGACUGGCGCGGGCAAGGUGGAUCACCACCGGGGAGCGAACGACCGUCCGGACACCGCGCGCCUGGGUGGCCGAC
rnacentral:ncRNA from 2 species